UACAGAGGGUGCGAGCGUUGUCCGGAAUCACUGGGCGUAAAGGGCGCGUAGGCGGCCCGGUAAGGUUGCGGUGAAAGCCCGGGGCUCAACCCCGGGUCGGCCGUGGCAACUGCUGGGCUGGAGCACAGUAGAGGCGGGUGGAAUUCCGGGUGUAGCGGUGGAAUGCGUAGAGAUCGGAAAGAACACCAACGGCGAAAGCACUCUGCUGGGCCGACACUGACACUGAGAGACGAAAGCUAGGGGAGCGAAUGGG
rnacentral:rRNA from 1 species